rnacentral:rRNA from 1 species
GACGAACGCUGGCGGCGUGCCUAAUACAUGCAAGUAGAACGCCGUUUCGCACGGGUGAGUAACGCGUAUGUAACUGCCUCAUAGCGGGGGGUAACUAUUGGAAACGAUAGCUAAUACCCCAUACUUUGAGAUGGACCUGCGUUGUAUUAGCUAGUUGGUACGGUAAAGGCUCACCAAGGCGACGAUCCAUACCCGACCUGAGAGGGUGAUCGGCCAAACUGGGACUGAGAAACGGCCCAGACUUCGACGGGAGGCAGCAGGAGGGAAUCUUCGGCAAUGGACGGAAGUCUGACCGAGCAACGCCGCGGGAGUGAAGAAGGUUUUUGGAUCGUAAAGCGCUGUUGUUAGAGAAGCGGUAACUAAACAGAAAGGAACGGCUAACUACGUGCCAGCAGCCGCGGUAAUUC